AAAAUCUUUCCUUUCUCUCUUAAAUUCUUUGAAAAAAAAUUCCAUCUCUCUGCAAUCCCCGAUCUGGUGAACAAUUAAAAUGGAAACAAUUCUUUCUUCUCACUCCCUUCAUCCAAUCUUGAAUCCCAAAGCAUCCAUUUCCAAGAACCUUUUGUUACCUUCACAGCAACCAAGACCAGCCUCUCUCUUUCUCUCAAAACCCAUUACUUGUACCCUCAAGAAACCCACUUCCCAAUCAGUAAAACCAUCUUUGGCAGAACCCAGAAAUUGGUUUGUUCAUGCACAGCAAGGGCUAUCAGCAUUAGCUAUCUCUUUGGCA
rnacentral:lncRNA from 1 species